AGCAGUAGCCGCGGGAAUACAGAGGGUGCGAGCGUUAAUCGGAUUUACUGGGCGUAAAGCGUGCGUAGGCGGCUUUUUAAGUCGGAUGUGAAAUCCCUGAGCUUAACUUAGGAAUUGCAUUCGAUACUGGGAAGCUAGAGUAUGGGAGAGGAUGGUAGAAUUCCAGGUGUAGCGGUGAAAUGCGUAGAGAUCUGGAGUAAUACCGAUGGCGAAGGCAGCCAUCUGGCCUAAUACUGACGCUGAGGUACGAAAGCAUGGGGAGCAAACAGGAUUAGAUACCCGCGUAGUCCCUGUCUCUUAUAC
rnacentral:rRNA from 1 species